UUGAACGCUGGCGGCAGGCCUAACACAUGCAAGUCGAGCGGUAGCACAGAGAGCUUGCUCUCGGGUGACGAGCGGCGGACGGGUGAGUAAUGUCUGGGAAACUGCCUGAUGGAGGGGGAUAACUACUGGAAACGGUAGCUAAUACCGCAUAAUGUCGCAAGACCAAAGUGGGGGACCUUCGGGCCUCAUGCCAUCAGAUGUGCCCAGAUGGGAUUAGCUAGUAGGUGGGGUAACGGCUCACCUAGGCGACGAUCCCUAGCUGGUCUGAGAGGAUGACCAGCCACACUGGAACUGAGACACGGUCCAGACUCCUACGGGAGGCAGCAGUGGGGAAUAUUGCACAAUGGGCGCAAGCCUGAUGCAGCCAUGCCGCGUGUGUGAAGAAGGCCUUCGGGUUGUAAAGCACUUUCAGCGGGGAGGAAGGCGUUAAGGUUAAUAACCUUGGCGAUUGACGUUACCCGCAGAAGAAGCACCGGCUAACUCCGUGCCAGCAGCCGCGGUAAUACGGAGGGUGCAAGCGUUAAUCGGAAUUACUGGGCGUAAAGCGCACGCAGGCGGUCUGUCAAGUCGGAUGUGAAAUCCCCGGGCUCAACCUGGGAACUGCAUUCGAAACUGGCAGGCUAGAGUCUUGUAGAGGGGGGUAGAAUUCCAGGUGUAGCGGUGAAAUGCGUAGAGAUCUGGAGGAAUACCGGUGGCGAAGGCGGCCCCCUGGACAAAGACUGACGCUCAGGUGCAAAAGCGUGGGGAGCAAACAGGAUUAGAUACCCUGGUAGUCCACGCCGUAAACGAUGUCGAUUUGGAGGUUGUGCCCUUGAGGCGUGGCUUCCGGAGCUAACGCGUUAAAUCGACCGCCUGGGGAGUACGGCCGCAAGGUUAAAACUCAAAUGAAUUGACGGGGGCCCGCACAAGCGGUGGAGCAUGUGGUUUAAUUCGAUGCAACGCGAAGAACCUUACCUGGUCUUGACAUCCACAGAACUUUCCAGAGAUGGAUUGGUGCCUUCGGGAACUGUGAGACAGGUGCUGCAUGGCUGUCGUCAGCUCGUGUUGUGAAAUGUUGGGUUAAGUCCCGCAACGAGCGCAACCCUUAUCCUUUGUUGCCAGCGGUCCGGCCGGGAACUCAAAGGAGACUGCCAGUGAUAAACUGGAGGAAGGUGGGGAUGACGUCAAGUCAUCAUGGCCCUUACGACCAGGGCUACACACGUGCUACAAUGGCAUAUACAAAGAGAAGCGACCUCGCGAGAGCAAGCGGACCUCAUAAAGUAUGUCGUAGUCCGGAUUGGAGUCUGCAACUCGACUCCAUGAAGUCGGAAUCGCUAGUAAUCGUAGAUCAGAAUGCUACGGUGAAUACGUUCCCGGGCCUUGUACACACCGCCCGUCACACCAUGGGAGUGGGUUGCAAAAGAAGUAGGUAGCUUAACCUUCGGGAGGGCGCUUACCACUUUGUGAUUCAUGACUGGGGUG
rnacentral:rRNA from 1 species